AUUUGGUCGUAGACCCGAAACCAGGUGAUCUACCCUUGGUCAGGUUGAAGUUCAGGUAACACUGAAUGGAGGACCGAACCGACUUACGUUGAAAAGUGAGCGGAUGAACUGAGGGUAGCGGAGAAAUUCCAAUCGAACCUGGAGAUAGCUGGUUCUCUCCGAAAUAGCUUUAGGGCUAGCCUCAAGUGAUGAUUAUUGGAGGUAGAGCACUGUUUGGACGAGGGGCCCCUCUCGGGUUACCGAAUUCAGACAAACUCCGAAUGCCAAUUAAUUUAACUUGGGAGUCAGAACAUGGGUGAUAAGGUCCGUGUUCGAAAGGGAAACAGCCCAGACCACCAGCUAAGGUCCCAAAAUAUAUGUUAAGUGGAAAAGGAUGUGGCGUUGCCCAGACAACUAGGAUGUUGGCUUAGAAGCAGCCAUCAUUUAAAGAGUGCGUAAUAGCUCACUAGUCGAGUGACACUGCGCCGAAAAUGUACCGGGGCUAAACAUAUUACCGAAGCUGUGGAUUGUCCUUUGGACAAUGGUAGGAGAGCGUUCUAAGGGCGUUGAAGCAUGAUCGUAAGGACAUGUGGAGCGCUUAGAAGUGAGAAUGCCGGUGUGAGUAGCGAAAGACGGGUGAGAAUCCCGUCCACCGAUUGACUAAGGUUUCCAGAGGAAGGCUCGUCCGCUCUGGGUU
rnacentral:rRNA from 1 species